GGCCCCUCAGGACCCCCUGAACUGGUUUGGAAUCCUAGUUCCUCACAGUCUACGUCAGGCUCAAGCAAGCUUCCGGGAUGCCCUGCUGCUGAACAGGAGGCCGAAGACGAGAGCUGCCCGGAGGACUGGGCAGCAGCUGUUCCAGCAGAGACAUCAGCAAAAGCCAUCUAGAGGUGGAUCCAGAGUGUGGACUAACAGAGAAAAGAAGUGGAGGGAGAGCAGGCCUGCAGCUGGCCGCAGACAUAGCCAGCCUCCAGAACCGCAUUGACUGGGGUCGAAGCCAGCUCCGGGGACUCCAAGAGAAACUCAAGCAGCUGGAGCCUGGGGCUGCCUGACAUGCGCGCAAAGAGGCAGGGCAGCGAGCACAGCUGUUCUCCGACAUGGCUACGUGAUCUCAGGCCUUCUUCCUUCACAAUUAGCUCUUGCCCCUACCCCACGCCAGCUAAUGCCCCUUCUGUGUCCCUGCUCUGCAUGUUUCCAUUUUCCUUAGGUGUGAAGUUUGAAGAGGCAAACAGUAAUUUUGAAAGCCACUACUUUGAAACCAUUCUAAGGCCUGAGUUCCCAUAGGACACACUCACAUAGGCAGGUACACGUUAGUCAACAAUUGGAACUGCCUCUUGGAUCACUCAGCUGUGCUUUCAUGGCUGGAUGAUGGAACACUGUGCGAAGAGAGAUGGGGGCCAGGAAGUAGCGCUUCAUGCUUAGUACAUCCUCCAAAUUGUCUUUGCUGGAGGAGAAAACCGUACUCAGCCAAAAGAUCAGGACAAUAUGACUUGAGUCCACAAGGACACAAACACCUGAGUAGCUGGGCAGCCCUUGGCAGGGUCUAAGCCAGGAAGUAAAAAUGAUCUGGCCUAGAUAUUUAAGGGAACUCUAGGAAGAGGCCUAGGUUUUUAAAAUCCUGUCUCUUUGUCUUACCAUAAGAGGCUGAGCCUCUCUUCAUUUUUUUGAAGGGCCACUUGUGUUUUCUGUUCUGGGAACUUCAUUCAUUUUUCUACUGGGUUGUUGAUCUUUGCAGUAAUUUCUAGGAGCUGUUUAUGUUUGGAGGUAAUUGGUCCUUUGUCCAUAUAUAUGAGAUGUAAGUCUUAUUUUCCAGUUUAUCUUUUUGCUUAUUUUUUUUGACUUUUUAUUGUAAAAUAAAACAUCAAACUGCACAGAACAGUUGAAUAGCUUAAUGAAUAACUACAGUAAAAGCUAUGGUAACCACUACCC
rnacentral:lncRNA from 1 species